rnacentral:rRNA from 1 species
AUUGAACGCUGGCGGCAUGCUUUACACAUGCAAGUCGAACGGCAGCGCGGGCUUCGGCCUGGCGGCGAGUGGCGAACGGGUGAGUAAUACAUCGGAACGUGCCCAGUAGUGGGGGAUAGCUCGGCGAAAGCCGGAUUAAUACCGCAUACGACCUGAGGGUGAAAGCGGGGGAUCUUCGGACCUCGCGCUAUUGGAGCGGCCGAUGGCAGAUUAGCUAGUUGGUGGGGUAAAGGCCUACCAAGGCGACGAUCUGUAGCUGGUCUGAGAGGACGACCAGCCACACUGGGACUGAGACACGGCCCAGACUCCUACGGGAGGCAGCAGUGGGGAAUUUUGGACAAUGGGCGAAAGCCUGAUCCAGCAAUGCCGCGUGUGUGAUGAAGGCCUUCGGGUUGUAAAGCACUUUUGGCGGGAACGAAAAGGACUGUGCCAAUACCACGGCUCGAUGACGGUACCCGCAGAAUAAGCACCGGCUGACUACGUG